GAGGGUAGAGCUCAAUAGUAGAGCACAUGCUUAGCAUGCAUAAAGUCCUGGGUUCAAUCCCCAGUGCCUCCA
rnacentral:tRNA from 1 species